rnacentral:tRNA from 1 species
GGGAGCGGUUGAGGGCUGGUGCCCUCCCAGGACUUCAAAUCCUGUGCACCGCCCAAAAGGCGGUGGGUGGGUUCAAUUCCCAUCCGCUCCCG